GUAGGGAAUUUUGCGCAAUGGGCGAAAGCCUGACGCAGCAACACCGCGUGAGUGAUGAAGCAUCUUGGUGUGUAAAACUCUGUCAGAGGGGACGAAUUUUGACGGUACCCUCAAAGGAAGCAUCGGCUAACUACGUGCCAGCAGCCGCGGUAAGACGUAGGAUGCAAGCGUUGUCCGGAAUUAUUGGGCGUAAAGAGUUCGUAGGCGGCAUGUCAAGUCUGGUGUUAAAUCCAGGGGCUCAACCCCUGAUCGGCAUUGGAUACUGACAAGCUAGAGUACAGAAGAGGCAAAGGGAAUUCCUAGUGUAGCGGUGAAAUGCGUAGAUAUUAGGAGGAACACCGGUGGCGUAAGCGCUUUGCUGGGCUGUAACUGACGCUGAGGAACGAAAGCCAGGGGAGCAAAUGGGAUUAGAAACCCUAGUAGUCC
rnacentral:rRNA from 1 species